rnacentral:lncRNA from 1 species
UUAUAUAUAUAUAUAUAUAUGUAUAUAUAUACAUAUAUAAAUAUAUACAUUAUAUAAUAUAUUAUAUUAUAUACAUACAUACAUGCAUACAUACAUACAUACAUACAUACAUACAUACAUACAUGCAUACAAACAUACAUAAAUACAUCAAAAUCGUACUCUUUUCUUUCAGGCACGUAUUCUAUACACGUACUAUUUGUUAGAGAAUGUUAUUCGACAAUAAAAUUGAAGUUAUACAAAA